AUUGAACGCUGGCGGCAGGCCUAACACAUGCAAGUCGAGCGGAAGAAGGGAGCUUGCUCCUGGCUUCAGCGGAGGACGGGAGUGUAAUGCCUAGGAAUCUCCCUGGUAGUGGGGGAUAACGUCCGGAAACGGGCGCUAAUCCCGCAUACGUCCUGAGGGAGAAAGUGGGGGUUCUUCGGCCCUCACGCUAUCAGAUGAGCCUAGGGCGGAUUAGCUAGUUGGUGGGGUAAAGGCCUACCAAGGCGACGAUCCGUAACUGGUCUGAGAGGAUGAUCAGGCACACUGGAGGUGAGACGCGGUCCAGAGUCCUACGGGAGGCAGAAGUGGGUAAUAGUGGACGAAGGGCGGAAGCCUGAACCAGCGAUGCCAGGUGUGUGAAGAAGGUCUUCGGAUUGUAAAGCGCUUUAAGUUGGGAAAAACGGUAGUAGGAGAAUACAUUGCUGUUUUGACGGUACCAGCAGAAUAAGCACCGGCUAACUUCGUG
rnacentral:rRNA from 1 species